rnacentral:rRNA from 2 species
GACACGACUCUCGGCAAUGGAUAUCUCGGCUCUUGCAUCGAUGAAGAGCGCAGCGAAAUGCGAUACGUGGUGCGAAUUGCAGAAUCCCGCGAACCAUCGAGUCUUUGAACGCAAGUUGCGCCCGAGGCCAACCGGCUGAGGGCACGUCCGCCUGGGCGUCAAGC